GCAAGCUUGAAUUUUGUUCCAAUUAACGGGCUUUGAGAAAGCCUUAGGAAUUGCUUGAUGAAGUCACCAAGCAAUUGCUCAUCUGAUCAUAUAAUAAAUUAUCAGACUGAUCUCCUGAUUCUAGUUCUAGACACCAGGAUUUUCCCAGUCAGCAGUUUUCAUCCAAUCCUGGACCUAGCCUUUACCAACAAGAACUAGCUGAUGUAAGUCAGAGAAAGCAGUUGAUAUAUUUCAAUGACUAUUAUUACAUUCCUCAAUAAAUCUGUGAGUAUUUUCAAUUACUUGAAAAACAUCUUUGAAUGUGGCCCACAGUUCAGCAUUAGUCAAAGUAAUAUAGGAAAUUAAGGGUUUACCCUCCAGAUCCUCAGAAGACUUAAUAUUAAAAGGACAGAUUCCUAUGAGUUCAGAGGAAAGGGGAAAAGGAAGUGUUUCAGAAAAAAAGAGGAAGUCUGGUAAGAUAAUUAGUAUGAGGGAAAUGAAGUUAUAAAAGAGGCAUAGUCAGUGUAAAAAGAGGAAAAUGGUGCCAGAGGCAGAGUCUGGCUAUGAGGAACUGAGGAGGAGGUCUAGUGGCACUGGAGACAGAGCCUGAGACAAUUAAACCAAAGAAGAAGAGUCUGGAGCUUCAGGAGCCAUUUUACCUUUCUUUAAUCAUUUGUUUGCUUCAAUUAAUCUUAAAAUUGUAUCUUGCAGAGAGGCAAUUUUUGACUCCUGAGAAUACUGGGGAGGUUCAAAAUACCAACAGAAAUAGGCAUACACUCAGUUCGUGAUUAAAAUAGUCCAAUUUGAUUUUAAUAAAAUUAGGUUUGGGGGUUUCAAUAGUUUCCCAUAAUGGUCAUUGAUAUUCUGAAUUGCCUUUGGUCCCAUCAAUCCAUUUAGUUAGAAAUGCACAUAAGAAAGAGUGUCAGUUUUUAAACUUAAAAUCUGGGGGUAGGGAAGGGGGUGUCAGGGAGUGAAGGUGGGAGUGGGAGGGACAGAGAACACCAUCAAAAUAUUUGGAUAACUGCAAUCCCAUUCUCAAGUUUUUCUUUGUAGUAAAAUCAUUUUCAAAUAGCUUACAGCUCAAAGAGCUCAAACAGCUUGCUGGCUAAUACCAGUCAGUUCUAAGAAAAAAACAUGGUCCUAGAGGAAUCAGGCUUAAAGCUUUCCCAGCUAGUUUCUAGAAAACAGCCCCUAUUCCAAAGAAAUGGGCUAAAUUGGCACAGUUUCAGUGAAGCAGCCCCUGUUCUCGAAGAAAUGGAUUAAUAGCUUUUCAGUCAGCCUUGGACGAAAGUCUGAUCUACUCACAUACAGAACAAGACCUUAAAAAUAUUAAAAUAAAUCAUGAAUAAAGCCUAGCAAGCUUCAAAUGCAAAGAGAAUGUGGGCUCAGAUCCAGGAGUAAGAUAUACCUUUAACUCCCAGGGUUAGCAAGAAAAACAAUGAGUGACAAUGGGCUUAAUUGUGCAUACCACACCUAUUUGCUCACCAGCGGCAGAGCCAUCAGGCAUCUUCUCUGGUCCCAGUAUAGGCUAACAAAAUAUUGACCUAAAACAAAUAGACUGCCAGCUAUUUCUCCAGCAAAACUGGGAUCAGCAGAAAGUUGCAAUUCAGAGUGCACAAACAUGAUGAGCCUGGUGCAAGUCCCCACACAAGAUUGAGGAGGGCACUAUUUGAUAGAGAGUUUAUAGAAGUUGUUGGGAGGGCUGCAGUAAAAAACGAAUCCAUGGCUUUUAAUUGGCUAAGUCCUUGCCAAGAAAGGAAUGUUUCUUUUUCCUGUUGGGCUCUGCUGUCACUGCAGGUGGUAAGAGCUCCCUCUUCUGGUCCCUCAAAUCCAUUUAAUUGAGGUUUCUGUUUAUUAAUUUUUUUUUGCACAUCUAAAGUUAAAUAUUUAUAAAAUUGUCUUUGCUUUUUUGUGCAUUGAAGGUUAAAUAUUUAUAAAAUUGUCUUUGCUGUAUUGCUUUAGAAAAAGUAGUUUCAUGACAGUAUGUAUAACUUUUGUUGUACAUUUUGCCCACUCAAGAUUAGAGUCCUAACACGUCUGCUUUUAAAAAUUAAGAAUGUUUUUUUAUUUUGAAAAAGUUAUGAUUUUGAAUUAUCUUAGCUGAAAAAUUGCAAUUGUCAAAUUUACUAUAAUUUCUUCCUUUUAGAAAAAUCCUAACAGAAAUAUAUACUGUAGGUAUUUAAUGCCCUCAAAAUGUGUAGCAACUUCAUCUUCAAUUCCUACUAAUUCAAGGUUAAAUAAAUACCUUUAACAAAUCUAUGUGGACUGAGAAUUUAGACAGAAGAUCAUAUAGGUGUUGCAGAGGAGCAAGACCAAAAUAUCACAUUGUGUGAUGUGGUUUUCUAAUAUGUCCUGUAAGUUCCCUUCCCCUAGAAAAAGGUUGCAGUGGUGGUUGUGAUGGUGCUUGAGAAAGAAGAGAGUGUUGUAGUCAAGAGUAAUAAAAGAAUUUGAAAUUUACCCCCUUAUUCAUGGCUUUGUCAUAGACAUGUCACUUGAAGGAAAAUAAUUUAAUCUACCAUUAAUUUCUCUCAUGAUAAUAUAUUAAAAUGCUUAUCUGAAUGCAUAGAGCCUAUACCCUCAUUUUACUUAUUUUCCUACUUUCUUCAGUAUCCUAUAUGUUUAUCUAUAAUUACAUAGAAUUAUUUGGUUUCAUUAGCCUAACUUAAAAGACAUAAAAUUCUUCUUAUGGUCAUAAAAUUAAUCUUGUGUCUUCAUCCAGAUCACAAAUGGAGUCUUCAUUUUAUAAGAUGAGGACAAUAAAAAGUACUUAAAUAUGUAGCUAGCACCCAUAACAGUUAUAGAGUACUUUUUAACAUCUUUCUAUGAAAGUCACCAAUAAAUCAUAUAUAAGUGCAUUAUAAAACAUAGAUCAUCUGGGAGUAAAUACUCUCUCAUCUGAUUUAGAUAAAUGACAAUUUUCUAUGUCAAUAAAAAAUGGAGGCCUGUCAUAUGUGUGGAGAAACUAGAUAUUAUUUCAAGUCAAAUAUCCUCAAAUUGUAUACUCAAUUUCCUUUUCAUUAUAAAAUAUAAUAAUCAUGCUAGGAUAUUAUAAAAUAAUAAAUAAUCCAAAUUUUCGUAUUGAGAUUUGGGAAAAUUCAGCUGAUUAUUUCAAAGAUGUAUUCUCCAGAGUGACCCAACGAUUAUGAGGAAAACUUACAAAAUGCCUCUGACUCUCCUCUGGCUUCCUCUUUCUCAGACACAGUCACCCCACAAUGUUCUUUGUUGGGUGAGUAAAGAUUCACAAGAGGUACUAGGUAGGAGGUAACAGGUUUUCUCCAUCCUUGCCUCUUCUGCUCCAUGUUCAUUAGAUGUAUCUGUUAGGUCUGAAGCAGCCUUGUAAUUGUGUCUUAAAUAACUUAGUGUCCAUGGCCUCUUGCCUAGGACUCUGUCCUUUCCCUACUUUCUUUCAUCCACACACGCAGAAGUCCUCCUCCUCUAUUGUUUCAGAGAGUAAGGGCCCUUUUUGCACUUAUUUCCCUUGAACUUGUUUCUCUAGAGGAAAUGUUUGUUUUGUGGAGUUUCUAGUUCCUCUGCCCACCCACCACUCCCCUCCCAGCACUCUGGAGGCAGACUAGCUAAUGGUGAGAGCUGUGACUCACAAACCAAUUUUUUUUUGUUGUUUAAAUAAUCAUAAUAACACGGAAAAUUGAUUUAACAUCUACCUCACUUUUAAGUACAUACUCAUCUUCUGAAAAGCAGGGGGGAUAUUUCUUCUAAACUUCUUUUUUGCUGAAGGAGUUACUAUCUAUGAAUUUCAAAGUAUAGAGUGCCUGGGUUUAAAUGUUGUUGUUAUACUUCACUCUUCAGGAUGGAAUCAAUCUAGGAGUAUUCCUGAGUAAGAAUGAGUAAUUGGAGGGCCACAAAUAGAUUAAUGAGACAAAACAGUGAAUAACUCUCAGUAUUUUGUUAAAAUAUAAAAGUAUACUAUUUACCUGCAUUUAGAUUUAUUGGGAAAUCCAUAUUGAUAUACAUAACAUUUAAUAAAAGCAAUGGAAUUUUGCUACAACUCUACAAAGAUCUCGACUUUGAACAAAAAAUCUUGGAUUAUAUCUCAAUUCUGAUGUCAGCUUGUUGUAUGACCUUAGUAGGGGUAGCUUAAUCUUCCUGAGAAUAGAUUCUUUAUAAAGUGAGUGAGGUUUCAGAUUCCCAUGAGUUUCAAAUUUCCAUGAAGUACAAGGAACAAAGUGCUGUGCUGUGAUGGUUCCCUCUGUCUUCAGUGCCUUUUACCAUGAGGCCCAACUGAAAAACUCCUCCUCAUCCUUGAAGGUUGAUUAUAAAUCCAGUAUUGUUAAAUACUGAGAAAAAUCUAGAUAAUUUGGAAUAUUACUAUAAAAUAUUAUGGAAUUGUAGAGAAAUAGAGUGAGGAAUACACACACACACACACACACACACACACACACACACCUACAUUUUUAUUAGAAUGCUUAAGAAAGCACUAUCAGUACUUGGAUCUUGGGUAGGAUGGAGAUAUUUAUUUUAUAUUCUCCUUUACUUGAAUAUUUUACUAUAUUUGUAUAUUACUUUUCAUCUGCUAAUGGUUUAUAAAAUAUCUUUCACAAAAUUUUAUCUGGCCACUUAAAAAUUAAUUUUUAAGCAAAAUUAAUUUUGACUUGCUUGUAUCCUAAAUUAUUGGUUUUCAAAUCCUUUACGUUCAGUAUACUGAGAAUUUCAACAAACCUUAUACCGCUUGAUUCAUUUUUAUAUGAACAUCUAAAAUAAAAUAUUUUUAAUAUAUAGUCAAAAAUGAUCUAAAUAAAAUUAAUGAAAUAUUGUCUCACAACAAUAUUGCAUCUACCUUUAUCCUUGUGAAAUCUAAAUAAGGUUACCUUGAUUUAUAUACUGCUUUAAUAUUUGAGCUUUUAUUUAUAAUUCCAUAAAGAAAAGAUAUUUCACAAUUAAUGUUCUUCUUUGGUUCUCUACAUUCUUCUUUGCAAAGAAAAUAAAUAUAAAACUAAUUUUUAAUUGGUUUUAAAUUUUUUGUAACAACUAAAGAUUUAGUGUCAAAAUGUUCUUAUGCAUUGAAUUAUUAUUAUAGCUAAUAAGUAAAUUAAUCAAAAUAUUAAUGACUAGAAUCUUGAUAAAUAUUUAUUAAACAAAAAAAUGAUUUUUUUUUCCAAAUAAUUCAUGUACUCAUGAAUUAAUUAUUGCUUCAAGGAGAUAAAAUUUAUCAGUUCUUUUUUUAAUUUGAUAGAUGCAAGGGCUAAGGAAACUGAUUUGCAAAAAUAGCAAGGAAUAUAAAGAGUUGUAAUGUGGCAUUGUUGUUUAAUUCUUUGAAUUCUUUGCAAGAUUGUGACAAAGAAGAUAAUUACUUUGAUUAGAUAUUCCCACAAUCAUUUUUUAAAGAAAAAGAAUUGGAACUUACCUAAUUUUAAAGAAUUUUUUCCCAGUUAUUAAUUAUUCAUUGUGUUCAGCUUCUUCAAAGGAUACCAAAAUUCAAUAUCAAUACUUAGUAAUGAUCAACUAUAAAUACUGACUAUAUAAAUAAUCAAAAAAGCCCAUUUUCAUUGAAAAACCAAUAGACCAAACUAGACACACUUUCUGUCAAGAUGAAAAAACAAGACUCUC
ensembl:lncRNA